CUCCUCCCCAACUCAUUCUAUGAGGCCAACAUCAUCUUGAUACCAAAAUCUGGCAGACACACACACACACACACACACACACACACACACACACACACACACACACACUCUUCAGGCCAAUACCCUCGAUGAACAUCAAUGCAAAAAUCCUCAACAAAAUACUGGCAAACCAAAUCCAGCAGCACAUCAAAAAGUUAAUCCAUCAUGAUCAAGUAUGCUUCAUCCCCAGGAUGCAAGGUUGCCUCAACAUACACAUAUCAAUUAAUCUGAUUCAUCACAUAAACAAAACUAAAGAUAAAAACCAUGUGGUUAUCUCAAUAUAAGCAGAAAAGGCUUUCAAUAAAAUUCAAUGCCUCUCCAUAUUAAAAACUCUAAAAAAUCUGGGUAUUGAAGAAACAUAGCUCAAAAUGAUGAGCUGUUUUUGUAUCAGUAUCAUGCUGUUUUGGUUACUGUAGCCCUGUAGUAUGGUUUGAAGUUGGGUAACAUGAUGCCUCCAGCUUCGUUCUUUUUGCUGAGGAUUGCUUGGCUAUUAGGGCUCUUUUUUUUGGUUCCAUAUGAAUUUUGAAAUAGUUUGCUCUAGUUCUGUGAGGAAUGCCGUUGGUAAUUUAAUAGGGAUAACUUGCAUCUGUAAAUUACUUUGGGCAGUAUAGCCAUUUUAAUGACAUUAAUUCUUCCUAUCCAUGAGCAUGACAUGUUUUUCCAUUUGUUUGUGUCUUCUCUGAUUUCUUUGAGCAGUGUUUUGUAAUUCUUCUAGAGAUCUCCUAGAGAUCUUUCACCUCCCUGGUUAGCUGUAUUCCUAGGUAUCUUAUUUUUUCUGUGUGUAGCAAUUAUGAAUGGGAUUGUGUUCUUCAUUUGACUCUCUGCUUGACUUGAUGUAUAGGACUGCUAGUAAUUUUUGCACAUUGAUUUUGUAUGCUAAGACUUUGCUAAAGUUUAUCAGCAGAAGAAGCUUUGGGGCCAAGACUAUGGGGCUUUCUAGAUAUAGAAACAUGUCAUCUGUAAACAGAGACAGUUUGACUUCCUGUCUAUUCCUCUCUUCCCUCCUCUGUUUGGAUGCCCUUCCAGUUUUGCACAUUCAGUGUAAUGUUGGCUGUGGGUUUGUCAUGGCUAGCUCUCAUCAUUUUGGCACUUCUGACUAGAAGGGCAAGAGGGGCCAGUGUUGUUGUUACCUGAAAGGUAAGUGCAGCCCACAAAAAUGCAGUGAAGAAGAAGAUGUAUUAUGCAUAUGUUUAAGUUAAUACAAUUGAGAUAUAUUUAGCAGACAGAAUCAAUAGAGUUGAUGAGUGACUGACUGGAUGUGUGGGGAGUUUAUAUCACUCCCAGGUUUUUGACUUGGGCAACCGGGCACUCAUGAAGGAAAAAGGGGAUCCAGGGAGAGGAACUUUUCUGAGGACUGGGGUAGGGCUGAACAGCUGCAUUCGAGGCUGGUGGAGGGUGGGCUGGGCAUGGGAUGCACAAAUGGAAAUUCCACUGGGUCUGCAGCUCACACAUAGGCAUGACCAGCAUAGAGAUAGAGAGGCCCCAGUGCUGCUGAGUAACUGUGAUUCCCCAGGUGAUGGCAUCAGCUGAGAAGGGAAGGAAGCCCAUGAGAGGACACUGAAGAAGGAGUGAGCAGACAAUAAGAAGCCCACAGAAGACAGAGAAGGAACAACUAGAGGGAGAAGCCAAGGCAGGCGUGUGUGGUAACACAUAGGAACUGAGGGAGAGGACAUUUCAAGAUGGUGGGGAUGCCAUACAACAGGACUAUGUGAUGGUUUUUGGCUGUGUCCAUAGGAAGUCACAACAGGCAAGGGAAAGAAACCAGAACCCAGUCAUGGAGUUAAGAAGUGAGUCAGAGAGUAGAUGGGUAGGGACAGUGAGGUAAGGCCUCUUUCUAAGGAAGUUUGGCUGAAGGAUAGACUAGCUGGACACAUGCUGGCUGUGUGGGGUAGAGGGAGGAAUGAUGGAGGGUAGGAGAGCCUUGAGCCUGCGAGAAGAGUCUCUUAGAAUAGAGAAGCUGAAGUUAAAGUUGUGGAAGAGAGUGGGGAUAACUGAGUGACAGAUAAUCAGGAGAAGAAAAGGAGAUCCAGACUCAUGACAGAGAGAUGACCUUUGCCAAGAGCACAGCCGUCUUUCACGGUCACAGAGAGGUAGGACAAAAUGAGUGGUGUUCAAGAAUUGGUUUGUAGCACAAUAUUUCAACUAUGUCCUUUAAAAAGUUUCUCCACAGACACUACCCAAAGCAGUGCUUCACUACAGUGGCAGACAGACCUGAAAAUUUUCAUCUGAAGCAGCAGAGUGAACUGCAGAGGCAGGUCACCAACCAGUGUGGAGGCUAAAAGCGGGCCUCUUUGGGGAUUCCAGGUGGAAGUGUUGGACAUCUGUAGUAUUCCUGGUCUCGAAUCAUCCUGAUAUUCUUCAUUUUGUUAUUCACAUUGGACUAGGCAGGAACAAAGAUCACCACAACUGGCUCCCCUUCAACUAUGUUAGAUGGCAACUUGCCUUCAGUAUGGUGAAACACAUCAGUUAAGACCGGGGUUGUGCAUGGCAGGACUUUCUACAAGGACACCCAGUCUCCUUAAUAAACAUGAGAUGCUCUCUUUCCAGAAUUUCUCUUGCCUGACACAGCAUAGGAAGAUGCUGAACGGCCACACAGUGAUCCAUUGAGAUAGAAUCUCACUAUGUUGACCAGGCUGGUCUUGAACUCUUGGCACCCAAGCGAUCCUUUUGCCUGGAAUCCCAAAGUGUCAGAUUUACUGAAGAAUAUUUCAUUGUAAUUACUUUUUAUACUUUAUAGGUCAAGAGCUCUGUUUUAAAUACAAAAUUUAUUGAAUAUACUUUUUCAAACAAA
rnacentral:lncRNA from 10 species